CCUACGGGAGGCAGCAGUGAGGAAUAUUGGUCAAUGGGCUUACGCCUGAACCAGCCAAGUCGCGUGAGGGAAGACUGCCCUAUGGGUUGUAAACCUCUUUUGUCAGGGAGCAAUUGGCGCUACGUGUAGCGUUAUCGAGAGUACCUGAAGAAAAAGCAUCGGCUAACUCCGUGCCAGCAGCCGCGGUAAUACGGAGGAUGCGAGCGUUAUCCGGAUUUAUUGGGUUUAAAGGGUGCGUAGGCGGAAUGCCAAGUCAGCGGUAAAAUCGCGGGGCUCAACCUCGCUCCGCCGGUGAAACUGGCGUGCUUGAGUGGGCGAGAAGUAUGCGGAAUGCGUGGUGUAGCGGUGAAAUGCAUAGAUAUCACGCAGAACUCCGAUUGCGAAGGCAGCAUACCGGCGCCCAACUGACGCUGAAGCACGAAAGCGUGGGUAUCGAACAGGAUUAGAUACCCCUGUAGUC
rnacentral:rRNA from 1 species